rnacentral:rRNA from 1 species
UACGUAGGGUGCAAGCGUUAAUCGGAAUUACUGGGCGUAAAGCGUGCGCAGGCGGUUUUGUAAGUCUGUCGUGAAAGCCCCGGGCUUAACCUGGGAAUUGCGAUGGAGACUGCAAGGCUUGAAUCUGGCAGAGGGGGGUAGAAUUCCACGUGUAGCAGUGAAAUGCGUAGAGAUGUGGAGGAACACCGAUGGCGAAGGCAGCCCCCUGGGUCAAGAUUGACGCUCAUGCACGAAAGCGUGGGGAGCAAAUAGG